rnacentral:rRNA from 1 species
UACGUAGGUGGCAAGCGUUGUCCGGAUUUACUGGGCGUAAAGAGCGCGCAGGCGGUCGAAUAAGUCGAAUGUGAAAGCCCCCGGCUCAACUGGGGAGGGUCAUUCGAUACUGCUCGACUUGAAGGCAGGAGAGGGUAGUGGAAUUCCCGGUGUAGUGGUGAAAUGCGUAGAUAUCAGGAGGAACACCGGUGGCGAAGGCGGAUCUCUGGGCCAUUACUGACGCUGAGGAGCGAAAGCGUGGGGAGCGAACAGG